GGCGGGAAAGUAAGACGGGUCUCAGGAGCUGCUGAUCCAGUGCACAUAUGCACUUGUACGACUUAGAAAGUGCAAGAGAUGUUAUAGUCCUUGCCCACACAGAUGGGCGAUACCCUCAAUAUCAGUGACUAAGCUAGCAAAAGCUGAAUUACGUGGGGUGGUAGAGACAUGAUACUGAGAUGCAACAAUUUUUGUGACAGGCACGUUGCUCAGGGUUGCCCCUAGUCUUUCCUUUCCUCAGGCAAGGACACAAGAGACAGGGGCCAAUCCCUACCUUACGCUUAGGAGAAAGCUAAAGACCAGCAAAAUGGUACAAGUGGGCAAGCCACCCAAUAAGGAGGAGCUAGGCAAACAUGAACCUGGCUAUUUUUAGGUCUCAAAAUGAAGUAACAUCCCCACAUGCUGGCUAGUGCAUGUUCCUUAAUUCCUUCCCAUAACUGCCCCUCAAAAGGCCCAGGUCCUGGAAGACUGUCAGCUGAGCCCUGGCUAUUAAAUUACUGUGGCUUUAAAUACUCCUUUGACCCCAUGACCCAUCAUAGCGGUGCUCAAAUAUCAAAUAAAACAAGAAAAAGAGCAGCUGAUGGGCUGACACCAUGGAACUGCAGUGCACCACAGGCUUCCCAGAAUGUCUAAGGAUAAAAAGAGCAGUGGGUAAAAUGUCAGGAAGGAGGAUGCUGAGCACACGCAUACUUGGGGUACCAGCAGUGGAAAGAGAUUGGCAGGGCUCGGGGAGGUGGGGAGGCCGCUUCUAACUGCAUGAAACUUGCUUUCUUUCAUUGCCUGGGGUAGGACUGAAGAUGUCCAACCCGGAGUGGAAUCUCAGUUUUGGAAAAUAGCUGGCAGAAGCAGUCAGUUAACAUGUGAAGUGCUCCGAUCAAACAACCAGCAUUGCCACUCACUCGAGGAGGAAGAGGAUGUGGAUGCCGGGGGAAGGAAACGGGCCUACGAAGAAACCUCGGCAGCAACUCAUCCCUCACAAGCAGAAGCACCGUACAUAGCACAUUAGAAAUGAUCCUCAGCCACCGAGGGUGAAGGGAUGAGUGUAAGGGAUGCCCCUACCACUUCCGAGUGUUGCCCUUAGCUGCUGGUGUCUUGUGUUUUACCACUUAGAAGUCUCUGCCCUGAGCAGAAAGGAGAAGGGAGGAAGCAGUGAUUUCUGGGGCUUGACAAGUGCCUUGGUGUAAAUUCUCCCCCAUGGCCGAUUUCAAGACACAGAUGCCGCGUGUUGGGUGUACAGCAGCAUGCCGCGUCUCUCCGUACAGACACAACAGACAUAAACAAGCCCAGUGCACAGCUGAGUGUGAGGAAGUCAGUGAACCUGUCUUGGAUAUCUCAUCACUGCAUGGAUCUGUGCACUGGAAAAUGUAAAGAUUGAAAAGGAAAAGGAAAUGGAAAUUCUUCCUGCUGAAGUUUACUAGAAAAUGUCAUCACCAAGAAAGCAACUGAAGGGAGCUGUUCCGGUGAUGAAGAAGGUGUUUACC